CCCUUAGAUGUUCUGGGCCGCACGCGCGCUACACUGAUGAAUUCAACGAGCUCCUAACCUAGGCCGAAGGGUCCGGGUAAUCUUUGAAAUUUCAUCGUGAUGGGGAUAGAUUAUUGCAAUUAUUAAUCUUCAACGAGGAAUUCCUAGUAAGCGCGAGUCAUCAGCUCGCGUUGAUUACGUCCCUGCCCUUUGUACACACCGCCCGUCGCUCCUACCGAUUGAAUGGUCCGGUGAAAUGUUCGGAUCGCGGCAAGUCGGACGGGUAACCGUCAGGUUCGCUGCGAGAAGUUCAUUAAACCUUAUCAUUUAGAGGAAGGAGAAGUCGUANCA
rnacentral:rRNA from 1 species